rnacentral:lncRNA from 1 species
UUGUACAGAUCUAUCUUUAUUCAAUAUUCAUCAUGAGGAGGCUGCAGCAAUAGUUUGUACAGAUCUAUCUUUAUUCAAUCUUCAUCAUGAGGAGGCUGCAGCAAUAGUUUGUACAGAUCUAUCUUUAUUCAAUAUUCAUCCCGAGGAAGCUGCAGCAAUAGUUUGUACAGAUCUAUCUUAAUUCAAUAUUCAUCAUGAGGAAGCUGCAGCAAUAGUUUGUACAAAUCUAUCUUUAUUCAAUAUUCAUCCCGAGGAAGUUGCAGCAAUAGUUUGUACAGAUCUAUCUUUAUUCAAUAUUCAUCAUGAGGAGGCUGCAGCAAUAGUUUGUACA